rnacentral:sRNA from 1 species
UUUACUUCCGGCAGCAGGUGGUGGGGCCAUGUGGAAAUGGCUUCUUUACUUGAAGUCUGCUAAGAUGUCACUGAAAAUAUUGAGGAACAGGUGAGCGUGGUGAUCCCUGAAGACCAGCGUGGGACGAAAACGAAUGGAUUUGUCACCACAGCCACCCAACACCACACCUGAAAGAGGCAGGAGAGAUGGAGUCUCGCUCUCUCACCCAGACUGGGGUGCAGUGGCGCAAUCUCACUCACUGCAACCUCCACCUCCCAGGUUCAAGCCAUUCUCCUGCCUCAGUCUCCCAAGUAGCUGGGAUUACAGGCGUCGCCACCAUGGCCAGCUAAUUUUUGUAUUUUUAGUAGAGAUGAGGUUUUGCUGUGUUGGCCAGGCUGGUCUCGAACUCCUGACUUCAGCUGAUCUGCCCACCUCGGCCUCCCAAAGUGCUGGGAUUACAGGCGUGAGCCAUUGCAUCCGGCCUGUUUAUACCUUUGAGACCACGUUUUCUCAUUUUUAAAAUGGAGGUUGAUUAUCCCUGCCCUUCCGAGGCUGCUGCAAGGAUUCUGUAAGAUGGCA